UAAGAAAUGUCCACUCUGGUGCUGUAAUAUACAGGGUAAUGAUGUAUUAUAAAGGUUUGUAAUGUACUAGUAGAGUUGGAUUUGAGCAGUGUGGUACCCUUACUGAUUGCUACUAUAAUUAAUGGGAUCUAUAUACUAUACUAUUUUACAUAGGGUAAUGUUGUCAUAUGUGUGGCAUGAUAUAUAAUAAAAACAAAUGCUGUAAUAUGCUGCCUUAUAAUAAUGUUUGCACAAGUUAAAAUGUCCUAUAUAUUCCUCCACUCACUGCACAAUGGUCUACAUGUAAAUGUUUUCCAAAAAAAUAUUUGAUUGUACACUCCUGCUGUAUCAACAUCUACAUUUAGUAAUAUGUUUGAGUUUCUGUAUGCUUUUGGGGUCGCUGAGUCAUGCUUUCAUAUUGAAACCUACACAGAUGUAACUAUUUUCAUAGACCCUGACUAGGCACUUUUUUUUUUUUUACUUUGCACUCUUUCAGAUCUUUUGAGAAGUGAAGCAAAGCACCCAACAUUUUUGUUGAGCCUUUGCAUCUCAAUGUAUACAAAUAAAACUGCAGCCAGUGAACUUAAAAGACUGGUAAGUGUAAUAUAUAGGAGGUAACUCCUGUACUUUCUCCUUCAAGGUGGUUUUUAAGAAGGACUGUUAUUGGUGUUUUCCUGAAAAUGAAACUAUAUAUGCUCCUGGCAGGUCCUGGUUUUGAAAAACUCCUGUGGACACACUUUAGCCUUGGCCGGCUUGGCCCUGUUGAGACCAAAAUCCUUUCCCAGAGCCAGAUAAAACUGGUUGAAUGUGGAUUCUGGUGCAUUUGCAUUUAUUAGGUGACUUGCAAAUUUAAAUAAAUCUCUCCCUCAGCUUGCACACCUGUAAGCUUCUUUUGCUUGGGUAUAUUUGUUUUUUUUUAGGUUGGACCCUGGUUUUAGUCACAGAGGAGGAUCUUCCCUCUUGGCAGAUAACUUAAACUGCUAUAUAUUCCAUUAAGAACGUCAUUCCUCAUAUUUUUAGGCAGGCUUUUUUUUAAAUAUUGCCAGGUAAGGCUGAUUUACAUGUAUUUCAAUCAUAUGUAACAAAACCAAUUCCUCCAUCCUUAUUUGUAAGUAUCCUUUAGUCUAGGCACCUUUGUUAACCUUUGCUAACUUUUCCUAAAGCAGGGCCUAGAGGCAGGUAACCUUGGACUGCUGAAGGUUGCAAUAUGUGAGUAUAAGAAUGCAUGGAUAGUUGGACAAUAGUGAUUCUUAAGCCUUGGUAUCUAUUUUUAAUUUUAUGUUUUCCUGGUUUGGGAAAUGAGUGAAUGGCAAAUUCAUUUUGUUGACAUUUCUUCAGCAUUGUUUUACAGAUUUGGACUAGGCAUUCAUUCCUUGACUUUUUUCAGACAGAGGUGAAUACAGGAAAAGUGUGCAUGAAACAUGGAGUAAUUCUUUUGCCCAGGCAUUGAAUUGUCUUUUCAGGAGACACCUAGUCACUGUGGUACAUCAGCCUUGGCAGUUUAUUCAGGAUCGAUCUUUUCUUUUGGCAAGUAUAUGAGCGGAUAAUAGACAAAUUCUGUUUUGUUUUCAUUUAGCCUAGGCAUCUUUGUUUUUACAGGUUGGGUCCUAGUGUAGGAAAUGAUAAGAGCCAGGGACAAGUGACCUGGGACUGCUGGAAACUUUGAUUUAAUAGGUGAGUAGAAGAAUCCAGUUUUCUUACAUGGAGAAAAUGAGGAGUUGCGACAGGUAACUUUGUACUGCUAAAGUUGGGCUAAGUGAAUAGAAAAAUUGGUGUGCAUGGAUAACUAUUUAUUUUAACAGGUUUUUCUGUUUGGAAGACUUCAAGCCACUGUGGUACUUUGGCCAUGGCUGGGUAAUUUGGAAUCUUGUUUCCUUUUGUAGGUAUAUGAGUGGACUUCAUUUCAACAUUAUCAUUCUUUAGCAUGGACUUUUGUAUUACAGAAAUUAUUUAUAGCCGUUUUCACACAAAGGCAGGAAGCUUUGGACUGCCAAAAUAGAUGAUAGGUGAGUAGAAGAAUUGGUGAGCAUAGAUAAUAGUGAUUUCUCAGGCUGGACAUCUUUGUUUUACAGGUUGGGACAACCAAAGACUAGGAGUGGAGGCAGGUAACUUAGAACUACUGGAGCUAAUUAUAGGUGAGUAUAAAAAUAGAUAUGCAUGGAUAAUAGUGAUUUUCACCUGGGCUACCAUUUGUUUUUACAGGUUUACCUGGUUUGUAAAGGAUCUUGCUGCUAUGGUAUCUCAAUGUUGACAGGGGUUACUUGGAAUCCUUACUGUUUUGGUAAGUAUGAGUGGAUGGACAAAUGCCAUUUGGCACUAUUCUUUAGCCUGGGCAUCUUUCUUUUUAUAGGUUGGGUCCUGGAAUAGGAAAGGAAGCAGAGGCAGAUGACCUGGGACUGCUGAAGCCUGUGGUCAACUGGUAAGCAGAGCACGUGUAAAUGAAUAAUGAUGAUAGUGAUUCUUUUUUCCAGGUUUCUAUUUGUUUUUAUAGGUGUUCCUAUUUUUGGCAUUGUAUAGCCAUGACAGUGGCAGGGGUUACUUGGGAUCCUGUUUCUUUUGGUAGGUAUAUGAGUGGAUGGGCUAAUUAAGUUUGGCGUUAUUAUUCUUCAGCAAAGACAUCUUUGUAUUCCAGAUUGGGACAUUGUGUGGAAAUGGCAGGUUGAGGCAGGUCAUUUGGGACUGCUGAAGCUUAUGAUAGGUUAGUAAAAGAAUUGAUGUAAAUGGAGUAUAAUGAUUGUUCAGUCUUGGGAAUCUUUUUACAGGUUGGCACAUUGGAGUGGAGGCAGGUAACUUUGGAUUGCAGAAGCUAGUGAUUGGUGAGUAGAAGAAUAGAGUAAUAUUAGAGUGCAAUGAUUUAUUAGCCUGGAUUUUUUUUAAUACAGGUUGGGACCAGUUUUAUUAAAUGUAAAAAUCAAAGAAAAAGCAGCAGGUAGGUAAUUUUUUUUACUGCUGAAGCUUGUAUAUGAGUGAAUAGGGAAAUUCAGUUUGGCAUUCUCAUUUUUCAACAGAGAAGAAGGGUAACUUGGGGCUGCUGAAGCUUUUGAUAGGUAAGUUGAAUAAUAAACAUGCUACUAUGAGAAUACUAUAUUAUUUUUAUUUUUUUUGUAGCCUGAGGUGUUUUUACAGACAUCCAGCCACUGUGGUGCAUCAGUCUUGACAGAUGUACCUGGUAUCCUGUCUCUUGCUAGGUAGGUGAAUGGUUGGCAGAUUCAGUUUUGUUUUCACUCAUUCUUCAGCAUUUUUGUUUUUAUAGGUUGGGUCCUGGUGUAAGAAAGGUUUAGAGCCGAUGGCAGGUGACCUGGAACUGCUGGUAAGUGGGGGGAAAAAAUGUAUGCUAGGAAAAAAUGUUUCUUCAGCAUGUGCAUCUUUGUUUUACAGGUUUUCCUGGAUUGGGUGAUGCCUAACCACCAUCGCUUUUCAGCCUUUGCAGUUUAUUUGGAAUCUUAUUGGUAGGUAUGGAUGGACGAAUUCAGUUGAUUGUCAUUUUUCAGCAUGGACAUCUUUGUUUUACAGAUUUGAACCCUGCAUCUAUUCCAUGACUUUUCAAGACGGAUAACAUUGGGCUUCUGAACCUUGCAAACAACAGAUGAGUAUGAAAGAGAGUGAAUGAAAAAUGGAGUGAUUCUUUUAACUAGGCAUCUUUGUUUUUAUAGGUUGGCUCUUGGUGUAAGAAAGGAUUUAAGAUGAUGGCAGGUGAUGUGGGACUGCUGGAACUUGUUAUUUAAUAGGUAAGUGAAAAAAUAGGUAUCUUAGGAAAAAAUGCUUCUUCAGCAUGUGCAUCUUUGUUUUACAGGUUUUCCUGGAUUGGGAGAGGUAUAACCACCAUGGUUUUUUCAGCCUUUGCAGUUUAUUUGGAAACUUUUUUUCUUGUGGAUUGGACCUAGUUUGGGAAAAGUCUAGCCAUAAAGGACACUUCAGCUUUUUUCAAAUUUGGUCUGCCUGUUUUCCAGUUGGGACCUGGUUUGGGAAAAGUCUUAGCCGUACAGCCAUUUUCUUUGAUGUCCUACUAACUCUGCACCCAAGGCGACAACUCUUCUGUUUCAAACACAUUUUAAAAGGAAGAGAUGCUGGACUGGAUAUUCACUGUGCUAUGUGUCCAUUUGGAUUUAAUAUUUGUAUUAGGAUUGUAAAAUGUUUUUUAUUUAAUCUGUUUUGAUUAACUUUCAAGUAAAUGUAUUUUUUUUUUUCUUUUUCAUUGACCUGGGCUGAAUUUGAUGAAUAUUACAAAGUUUGCAUUAGGUCCUUCUAUCGUAAGCAAUAGGCACUACACAUUUACUGGUCAUACAAAUAUUUAAAACCACUAUAUAUAUUUUGGACAAUGGUAGAUGGCUUCAGAUUGUAUAGCCAUUCUGGGUCUAAUAGUAGUCACA